CAGCCGCCACGGUAAUACGAGGGGGGCAAGUGUUGUUCGGAAUUAUUGGGCGUAAAGGGUGCGUAGGCGGAUUCUUAAGUCUGAUGUGAAAGCCCCCGGCUCAACCGGGGAGGGUCAUUGGAAACUGGGAAACUUGAGUGCAGAAGAGGAGAGUGGAAUUCCACGUGUAGCGGUGAAAUUCGUAGAUAUUCGGAAGAACUCCAGUGGCGAAGGCGGCUCACUGGACGACUGUUGACGCUGAGGUGCGAAAGCGUGAGGAGCAAACAGGAUUAGAUACCCGAGUAGUCCCUGUCUCUUAUAC
rnacentral:rRNA from 1 species